ensembl:lncRNA
AUGGUGACAGGGGAUAGGGAAAAGGCAGAACUGCUUAAUGCCUUCUUUGCCUCGGUCUUCUCACAAAAAGAAAGCCAUCUUCAACCUCAGCAACAUGGAAUGGACGAAGGAUUGGGGGAAAUCCAACCCCAAAUAGGGAAACAAGUUGUCCAGGAACACCUGGCCACUCUAAACGAAUUCAAGUCCCCAGGGCCAGAUCAGCUACAUCCAAGAGUAUUGAAGGAACUAGCGGAAGUUAUUCAGAUCCACUGGCAAUCAUCUUCGAGAGUUCUUGGAGAACAGGAGAAGUCCCAGCAGAUUGGAGGAGGGCGAAUGUGGUCCCUAUCUUCAAGAAGGGACCACAUUCGCCCUCCUCCAAUCUUCUGGGACUUCUCCCAUUCUCCAAGAACUCUCAAAUAUGAUUGCCAGUGGUUCUGAAAUAACUUCCGCUAGUUCCUUCAGUACUCUUGGAUGUAGCUGAUCUGGCCCUGGCGACUUGAAUUCGUUUAGAGUGGCCAGGUGUUCCUGGACAACUUGUUUCCCUAUUUGGGGUCGGAUUUCCCCAAAUCCUUCGUCCAUUUCAUGUUGCUAAGGUUGAAGAUGGCUUUUUUUGUGUGAGAAGACCUAGGCAAAGAAGGCAUUAAGCAGUUCUGCCUUUUCGCUAUCCCAUCGCCAUCACCCCAUCUUCUCCUCGCAGAGGCCCUAUCGCCUCCUUUUUCUUCCUUUUUCUACCAACAUAAGCAAAAAAGCCUUUUUGUUGUUUUUAAUGUCCCUGGUAAGCCUGAGCUCAUUUUACGCUUUAGCCUUGCAAACCUUUUCCCUACAGGAGUUGGCUAUACGUUUGAAUUCUUCUUUGGUGAUUUCUCCCCUUUUCCACUUCUUGUGCAUGUCUCUUUUGAAUCUUAGCCUGGUUAGAAGUUCUUUGGACAUCCAUUCUGGCUUCUUCGCACUUGUCAUAUAUUUUUUUCUUUGUUGGCACUGUUUGCAUUUGCGCCUUGAGUAUUUCACUUUUAAAAAACUCCCAUCCAUCCUUAACUCCCUUAUCUUUUAAUAUUGGUGUCCAUGGAAUGCUGCUCAGUAUUUCCUUCAUUUUUUUGGAAGUCAGCUCUCUUAAAGUCCAGAAUGUGUGUUUGACUUGUCUUAGUUUCAGCCUUCCUUUGUAUCACAAACUGCAGGAGCACAUGGUCACUUGCCCCUAAGGAUCCGACCACUUCGACUGUAUUGAUCAGGUCUUCCACAUUUGUUAAGAUUAGAUCAAAAGUUGCCAAUCCCCUUGUUGCCUCUUCUACCUUCUGGACCAUAAAAUUGUCUGCAAGGCAAGUGAGGAAUUUGUUGGACUUUGUGCUUUUGGCCGAGUUUGUUUUCCAGCAGAUAUCAGGAUAGUUGAAAUCUCCCAUGACUACUACAUCUCUUCUUUGUGCCUGUUUGGUCAGCUGUUGACAAAAGGCUUCAUCAAGUCCUUCAUCCUGGUUCGGAGGUCUGUAGUAGACACCCACAACGAGAUCUUUUUGAGUCCCGGUUCCCUUGAUUCUUAUCCAGAUGCUUUCAAGCUGGUUUCCCGGAUUACAGUCUUGCAUUUCUUCUGCAACGUAACUGUUUUUUACAUAUAAAGCUACUCCCCCUCCUCUCCCCUUGGUUCUAUUUCUGUGAAAGAGAUUAUAGCCCUCAAUGGCUACAUUCCAGUGAUGGGAGUGAGCCCACCAGGUUUCAGUGAUGCCUAUGACGUCGUACGUGUGGUGCUGUGCUAAAAGUUGGAGUUCGUCUUGCUUAUUUCCCAUGCUCUGUGCAUUAGUGUAAAGACAUGUAAGCCCCUUUGAGAUUCCCCCAAGCUGUUUAUUUGGGAUUAUUGUGCUCUCGGUAAUUGGUCCUUGCUGUGUUUGUGAAGCCCUCCAUUUAGCCUUUUGGCGGUUCCCUGUGGUCGUGGGUAAUAUAAUGUUUGCCAGGCUGUUGUUCCCCUCCCCCAGUGGAUCUAGUUUAAAGUGUGCCUGAUGAGGUUUGUGAGUCCGUGUGCAAAAAGAUGUUUUCCUACUUGUGUGAGAUGCACCCCAUUACUUGCCAGUAGUCCAUCCUCCUGGAAGAGUAGGCCAUGGUCAAGGAAGCCAAAAUGCUCCUCUUGACACCAUUUUCUGAGCCAGUUAUUGACCUGUACUAUUUUUCUGGCCCUUGUAGAGCCGUGUCCUACAACUGGGAGGAGGGAUGAAAAGAUCACAUGUACAUUACACAGUUUUAGCUUACUUCCGAGGGCUCGAAAAUCAUUUGUGAUCUUUUGAAAAGUAUGCCUAGUGGUAUCAUUGGUUCCUACAUGAAUCAACAUAGGGGGGGGGAGGGUGAUGAGACUCUAGGAGCCUGCUGAGCCUCUGAGUGAUAUGGUGUAUUUUUGCCCCCAGGAGGCAGCAUAUUUCUUGAGCCAUCCCAUCUGGUCUGGAAAUGAUGGCUUCCGUUCCUCUAAGGAGGGAGUCACCUACUACCAAGACCUGUUUCCUUUGAGGAUUGACAGUGUCACUUUUGUGCAAGACAGUGUGUAUGUCCCCUGAAGAGUGUUCCUGUUGAAGUGAAUCAUGUAGGUGUAAAGUGUUGUCCUCCUCCUCAACAUCCCCAGUGCAUUCCUCAAUGACCAUCCAUUGAGAUACGUCCGAGAGCCCAUCACUCUCCCAAGGAUGUUCCUGUUGCUCCUGGUUUAUGAUUGGGGAUGGAGCAUUUGCAUGAUUACAUAAGUGUGAAUGUGGUGAUGCACUGUCCCCGUCAAGGCUAUCCCCUGCACAUUGAUAAAGGUUGGCCCAUUGAGUGGUAUCUAAGUAACUGUUGUCCUCCACAAGAUGUGUUUCCUGAUUGUAUGUUAGUGGUGUAAGAAUUUGGAAUCUGUUGUGUAAAUCCAGCUGAGCAGAUGAGUUCUGCGGAGGCUGCCUGGUCCCGUGUCUCUUUCUAUGGGUGACCUCCUUCCAAGUCUGAGGGUUGUCUACCUUUGAGUUGAUCUCCCCAUAAAGUUCCUGAUCAUGGUGGUGAUGGUGUGAUGCAGGUUGCAGAUCUACAGCAGCGUGUUGUGCAGUGUCCAAGAAGAGCCCGAGUGCCUGAAUGUCCUUAAGGGUCUUAAUGCGGGCCUCGGGUUGUUGGAUCCUCUGCUCCAUCAGAGUCAUCUGUUUACACUUGGUGCAGGUGUAGUUGAGUAGUUGUUGUGCAAACAAGGUGAACAUGCCGCAACUUGUGCAUGUGGUGGCAAGUAUUUGCUGUUGAUCCAUCUCUUGGUGAGUGAAGUGACUAAGCAGGAUCGUGUGUGUUAUGGGCAGAUUGCUAUUCACCUUCCUGUGUAUGUGUUUUUAAUUUUGUUUUUUUUAUUGUAUGUACUGUAAGAAGGGGUGGGUUCACGAGCGCCGUUAGGCGCGAGCGACGCUGGCUCAGAAAGCUUCAACAGGAAGCCAACACUUUCAAAACCAUAGCCACACCUCACCUUCCAAACAAUAGUAGAGCAGCUAGCCUUAAUUACAGCUAGCCCACACUCAAGAAUCAGCACAGACUCAGGUUUUUUAAGGCAAAGAGUCCAACAGACAGAGGUUUUUAAGGCUAUCUAAGAAAAGAGUAGGCAAUCUAAGAAAAGAGUGCACACUCUCAGGUUUUUAAGGAAAUCUUAGACAGGCCUUACCUAAAGCAAAAGAGCAAGCUGCCUUCUUGCUUCCUCUCCUCACCUCUGCAUGAACUCAGCUGCCGCUUGAGUUCAGCUUCUGGCUCAGAAAAUCUACCUACUAACAAGUUAAUGAAUAUUGUAGCAUUUUCUUUGUAGAUAAUAAUAAUAUAAUUUAAGAAAAGAUUUAAUGUGAAACAAUUUCUUAUGA